GUUAGUUAAAUUUAUAACCUAAACUUGUCAAGUUUAAAUUAUUGUAUUCAAUACUUUUUUAUUCCACA
rnacentral:tRNA from 1 species